rnacentral:rRNA from 1 species
UACAGAGGAUGCAAGCGUUAUCCGGAAUGAUUGGGCGUAAAGCGUCUGUAGGUGGCUUUUUAAGUCCGCCGUCAAAUCCCAGGGCUCAACUCUGGACAGGCGGUGGAAACUACCAAGCUCGAGUACGGUAGGGGCAGAGGGAAUUUCCGGUGGAGAGGUGAAAUGCGUAGAGAUCGGAAAGAACACCACCGGCGAAAGCACUCUGCUGGGCCGACACUGACACUGAGAGACGAAAGCUAGGGGAGCGAAUGGG